rnacentral:rRNA from 1 species
CCUGCCCGGAGAAAGCAAUUUUAAACGGCCACAAUCGUGCUAAGGUAGCGUAAUCAGUUGUCCUUUUACUGAGGACUAGUAUGAAAGGAAAAACGAGGCUCAACUGUCUCUAUUAAAAAAAUAGAAAUUAGUUUUUAGAUGAAAAAAUCUAAAUAAAAUUAAAGGACGAAAAGACCCUAUAGAGUUUAAAUAUAAUUAUACUAUUCACAAAUUAAACAAAGCGAAUAAAAUAAAUAUUUUAAUUGGGGCAACAUAGGAACAAGAAAUUUCCUUAUAGUAAACAUUUAAUAUCAUAAAAAUGAAAAUCCUCAAAGAGAUAAAGAAAAACUACCUUAGGGAUAACAGCGUAAUUUUUCUAAAGAGACCUAAUCGAAAGAAAAGUUUGCGACCUC